rnacentral:rRNA from 1 species
UACAGAGGUCUCAAGCGUUGUUCGGAUUCAUUGGGCGUAAAGGGUGCGUAGGCGGCGCGGUAAGUCGGGUGUGAAAUCUCGGAGCUUAGCUCCGAAACUGCAUUCGAUACUGCCGUGCUUGAGGACUGGAGAGGAGACUGGAAUUUACGGUGUAGCAGUGAAAUGCGUAGAGAUCGUGAGGAAGACCAGUGGCGAAGGCGGGUCUCUGGACAGUUCCUGACACUGAGGCACGAAGGCCAGGGGAGCAAACGGG